UGUAAAUGUUAUUCAUUGGGUACAUGAACAGAGAAAGGAUUCAUUAAAAUAUGCUUCAGAGGCAGCCAGUAGGCAAGUCCCCAGAGGGAGGAUGGGAUGACCGAGGGGUGGGAUUGUGUAGAAAUUAAGGGGAAAUACUUGGUCUUGUCUCGAGCCAUCUUAACAGGGUACAGGGCUGUAGAGUGGGCAUCUCACUAGUGUGCCCCACAAGGUUUACAGAGUGGGUUGUUUUCCUUGCGACCAGCCGUGAGUUAAGGCAUUGGGGUCGUUAGGAACUAGGCUCACGGGUGCUGAUACAUGGUGGUGAUUCUCUAGGAAUGUGGCUCCCAGUACUGAGUGUUGAACAUGGAGGUCUCUCUGAGCCAGGCGUGGUAACCUCCAUCUAUAAUCCCAGCAUUUGAGAGAUCGGUGAAGGAAGAUCAGGGGGUUAAGGCCAACCCAACUACAUCCUGACUACAAAAACAAAAAACAAAAAACAACCAAAUAAGUAAAUAAAUGUCCGUGGCAAUGGUGGAGACCUUUAACCCCAGCCCCUGAGAGGUGGAAACAGGCAGACCUGCAAGCUCAGUGCAAGCCCAG
rnacentral:lncRNA from 1 species